CAGGUGGCGGGCUUAAUACAGUCAAGCUGAGCGCGAGAGUAGGAGCUUGCUCUAUGACGAGCGGGGAGCAGGGGGAAACACGUGGAACCUCCCUUGAGAUUGGGAAACUCCGGAAACGGUGCUAUCCGGAUCGACUUUUCACAUAGUGGAAUUGUUAAAGGCGGAUUAUCUGCCGCUAUGGAUGGGCCUGCGGUGCAUUAGCUAGUUGGUGAGGUAGUGGCUCACCAAGGCGACGAUGCAUAGCCGACCUGAGAGGGUGAUCGGCCACACUGGGACUGAGACACGGCCCAGACUCCUACGGGAGGCAGCAGUAGGGAAUCUUCCGCAAUGGACGCAAGUCUGACGGAGCAACGCCGCGUGAGUGAUGAAGGGUUUCGGCUCGUAAAACUCUGUUGUUAAGGAAGAACACUUGAGGUAGUAACUGGCCUUGAGAUGACGGUACUUAACCAGAAAGCCACGGCUAACUACGUGCCAGCAGCCGCGGUAAUACGUAGGUGGCAAGCGUUAUCCGGAAUUAUUGGGCGUAAAGCGCGCGUAGGCGGUAAAAUAAGUCUGAUGUGAAAGCCCCCGGCUCAACCGGGGAGGGUCAUUGGAAACUGUUUUACUUGAGUACAGAAGAGGAGAGUGGAAUUCCAUGUGUAGCGGUGAAAUGCGCAGAGAUAUGGAGGAACACCAGUGGCGAAGGCGGCUCUCUGGUCUGUAACUGACGCUGAGGUGCGAAAGCGUGGGGAUCAAACAGGAUUAGAUACCCUGGUAGUCCACGCCCGUUAACGAUGAGUGCUAAGUGUUGGGGGGGGUUUCCGCCCCCUCAGGUGCUGCCAGCCUUAACCGCCAAUUAAAGGCAAC
rnacentral:rRNA from 1 species